CCUACGGGUGGCAGCAGUAGGGAAUAUUGCUCAAUGGGGGAAACCCUGAAGCAGCAACGCCGCGUGGAGGAUGAAGGUGUUCGGAUUGUAAACUCCUUUUGGUCGAGAAGCAAAUGACGGUAUCUAACGAAUAAGCACCGGCUAACUCCGUGCCCGCAGCCGCGGUAAUACGGGGGGAGCAAGCGUUACUCGGAAUUACUGGGCGUAAAGAGCUCGUAGGCGGGAAAGCAAGUCAGAGGGUAAAUCCUAGGGCUUAACCCCAGAACUGAAUUUUAAACUGGUAUUCUAGAGAAUGGGAGAGGUAGGCGGAAUGCUUGGUGUAGGGGUGAAAUGCGUAGAGAUCAAGAGGAAUACUCAUUGCGAAGGCAGCCUGCUAGAACAUAACUGACGCUGAUGCACGAAAGCGUGGGGAGCGAACAGGAUUAGAUACCCGAGUAGUC
rnacentral:rRNA from 1 species